CUGGCGGCGUGCCUAACACAUGCAAGUCGAACGAGAAAGUCCGCAAGGAUGAGUAAAGUGGCGACCGGGUGAGUAACACGUGACUAACCUACCUUUUAGUGGGGGAUAACUCCGGGAAACCGGAGCUAAUACCGCAUAACAUCGCAAGAUCAAAGCAGCAAUGCGCUGGAAGAGGGGGUCGCGGCUGAUUAGCUAGUUGGCGGGGUAACGGCCCACCAAGGCGAAGAUCGGUAUCCGGCCUGAGAGGGCGCACGGACACACUGGAACUGAAACACGGUCCAGACUCCUACGGGAGGCAGCAGUGGGGAAUUUUGCGCAAUGGGGGAAACCCUGACGCAGCAACGCCGCGUGGAGGAUGAAGCCCCUUGGGGCGUAAACUCCUUUCGACCAAGACGAUUAUGACGGUACUGGUGGAAGAAGCACCGGCUAACUCUGUGCCAGCAGCCGCGGUAAUACAGAGGGUGCAAGCGUNGUUCGGAAUUAUUGGGCGUAAAGGGCGCGUAGGCGG
rnacentral:rRNA from 1 species